UACGUAGGGUGCGAGCGUUGUCCGGAAUUAUUGGGCGUAAAGGGCUCGUAGGCGGUUUGUCGCGUCGGGAGUGAAAUCAUCUGGCUUAACUGGGUGCUUGCUUUCGAUACGGGGCAGACUAGAGGUAUGCAGGGGGAGAACGGAAUUCCUGGUGUAGCGGUGAAAAUGCGCAGAUAUCAGGAGGAACACCGGUGGCGAAGGCGGUUCUCUGGGCAUGAUCUGACGCUGAGGAGCGAAAAGUGUGGGGGAGCGAAACAGG
rnacentral:rRNA from 1 species